rnacentral:snoRNA from 1 species
AGGCAUGAGGAGAUAAAAAAUCCAACACAUAGUAUCUUGUGAAAGAUACAAAAUAUAACUUUCAUUCCCCUUGCUUACAGCACUUGAUACAUAAUUAUCUCUUUUGAAUUCCAUCUCGUGUAAGACAGAGAGGUUUAGUUUCAGAUAU